AAACUUUCAACAACGGAUCUCUUGGUUCUGGCAUCGAUGAAGAACGCAGCGAAAUGCGAUAAGUAAUGUGAAUUGCAGAAUUCAGUGAAUCAUCGAAAUCUUUGAACGCACAUUGCGCCCGCCAGUAUUCUGGCGGCAUGCCUGUUCGAGCGUCAUUU
rnacentral:rRNA from 1 species